rnacentral:rRNA from 1 species
GACGAACCGUGCGAACGUUAUUCGGAAUCACUGGGCUUAAAGGGUGCGUAGGUGGGUUGGUAAGUCAGUGGUGAAAUCCCCGAGCUUAACUUGGGAACUGCCAUUGAUACUAUCAGUCUUGAAUACCGUGGAGGUCAGCGGAAUAUGUCAUGUAGCGGUGAAAUGCUUAGAUAUGACAUAGAACACCAAUUGCGAAGGCAGCUGGCUACACGAAUAUUGACACUCAGGCACGAAAGCGUGGGGAUCAAACAGG